rnacentral:tRNA from 1 species
GCGACCAUAGCGCAGCCGGUAGCGCUUUUGCCUACCACGCCAGAGGCCACAGGUUCGAUUCUUGGUGACUGCA